rnacentral:lncRNA from 1 species
UUUGUAGAGCGGUUUUGCUAAUAUGGCGCCUGUGUGGCAGUGUUGACCUAGCCUUUGUCUCAUGUGGCACUUAUGUGGUAUUAGAAUUAAAAAAUAUAUCACACAAAAUAUAGUAUGUGACCCACUGACAUGUGGGUCCCACCUGCUGUCGGUGACAUGGGACCGGGAGUAUCAUAACUUAGAGACUUGAGUCAGACACGAUCACCCACGUGGCCUAACCCCCUCGGGGGGGGGGGGGGGUCGGGCCCGAGGGUGAUACGGCCGCCCUUCUCUUUGUCUCCCCGAGGGGUUGGACCGCUCCCGUCUCGGCCCCGAGGGCCGAGGCGCCCCGACCCCUUGUGGGUUUUGCGCCGCGUAUAUGGGGUAGGUGAGCAUAGCGGGGCUCACCUAACCACAUUUAUUGCGGUUUGGACGAGCGCGUCAUGCCGCAUGUAACGCAGUGCAGCGCGCUCGUUUAUCCGGUCAGUGACCAGUCACAGACCGAUCAGAUCGUGGGUUAGGUGGCGACAGGCGGUCUGACGCACGCCUCGCCCCAUCCUGUCAGGACGAGAGCCUCCAAGCACUCGUCCCUAGCCGGAGCCGGCGUGUUAGCUCCUGGAGAUGGCACGUUGGUUCCGGUCAGAUAUAUGCCAGGCUUCAUCCUAACCAUUACAGGCAAGAUAUUGUAUGAAGAAGGGCGAACAUGCAGAUUUAUAGACUGACGCGUGGUGGACAAGAAUGACCGAUUUGUGACCGGUCUGACACUGGUCAUGUCGUCAGCAGACAGCCAUUUUCCCACGUCGCGCCUGCUUCCGGCGGAAGUGGAGGUAGGUAUGGGCUGUCCCAUCAGAAGGUCAUUCGGACGGCAACCAUACAAGUCUCCGUCUGUUUAUGAAAAGAUAGGAUAAGUCCCCACAAAAAAGAGAGAGAUGGUGCAUGUGGUAUCCCCUUGAGGUAUAAAAGGAGGACCUUGCCCACUUAGAAGAUGAGGAUUUUCGGAUCCAGAAAGAUCAGAGAGGGAGAAAGUAAGAGCUCUCUGGUUCUCCAGCUCUUUUGUAGCUUCUUCAUACACAGAUCCACCAAAACACAGGAGUAGGGUAUUACGCUUCUCAGCGGCCCGAACCUGUAUACAUCGCCCGUGUCUUGUGUGUUUCCACUCUCGCGAACCUUCCACACUCAGACCAGGAGCUUAGAAUCUCACCCAGGGCCCCCGGCCGAACCGGCAAAGGGGGGCCUGUGCGGUCUCCCGGUGAGGAGCCCCACGCUCCGUCAUCUGGCGCGCCAGGUAGGGGGCUUUGCGUGUGUUUUUCUAAGCUCUCGCAUUCUUUCGUGUGCGCCAAGCUUUUCCUGUUCAGCCCAAUGGCCGAACAAGCAAAGGCGCACAACCUCUCUCCGAGUGUUAGCGGUGACGACGGGGAGCCGAACCCACGCCGUCGAGCUCGUACUCCACCGCCCCCUCCACGCCAAAGUCCUAGGCGGGAGGAGGCGCUCGAGAGGGUCGAAGGAUCCGCGACUUCGACAUCCACGGGUGAUGGGGAAGGGCGGCGAGAUGGGGAGCGUCGCCUCCUCGUCUACGGCGACGGCAGCACGCCCCAGGGCGCGCUCCAAGCUGCGGGCGCGCUCCUACGUCACCCGCCCAUUGUCCCUGACCCGGAGUCUCCAGCCCAACGUUGGCUGGACGACGUGGCCAACUUGGUCAUGACGGCACGGCAGCGCCUAGGUGCUGGUGGGCGGUCCUCCGCCACCAAGACCUCUGGCGCUGCUACCACCGGCUCCGUGUUGUCAAGGCGGAGAGCGCGGCGAGCGGCGGCUGUUGCUCGCCAUUCAGCCGCCACUCCUUCGUCAGCGCCUCCGACCCAGGAAGAUCUGCGUGGGGGGCCGGAUCCCCGCAUCAGUAUCGAGCGCCGGCGUAAUGGCCGGCGUGCUGCCCACGCAACGGAGGGCGCCUCCUCGUCCGGAGUGUCAUAUCAACACGGACGCGGGGAUCAGCCCUCCGUGCCCCCGGUUGGUGGUGUCGGCUGUAGAGCCUUUGUGGCGAGCCUUCGGAACGUCCGUUGGCCCCCAAGGUUCCGGCCCACCAUCGCCGAAAAAUAUGACGGGAGCGUCAACCCCGCCGAGUUUCUCCAGGUCUACACGACCGGGAUCGAGGCCGCCGGGGGUGACGACAGGGUCAUGGCAAAUUUCUUUCCCAUGGCCCUGAAGGGACAGGCACGGGGUUGGCUAAUGAAUUUGCCACCCGCGUCCGUCCACUCUUGGGAGGAUUUGUGCCAACAGUUCACCAUGAACUUUCAAGGCACAUAUCCGCGCCCAGGUGAAGAAGCGGACUUACAUGCAGUCCAGCGAAGGGAUGAUGAGUCACUUCGCUCAUACAUUCAGCGGUUCUGUCAAGUCCGCAACACCAUACCAUGCAUCCCUGCACACGCGGUGAUCUACGCGUUCAGGGGGGGUGUGCGGCACAACCGCAUGCUCGAAAAGAUCGCCUCCAAAGAGCCCCAGACUACCGCGGAGCUUUUUCAGCUCGCAGACCGAGUGGCUCGAAAGGAAGAGGCAUGGACCUGGAACCCCUCCGGUUCCGGUGUGGCAGCUUCGGCCGCCCCCGAAUCCGCUGCUCGGACAGGGCGGCGUGACAGGAGGAGGAAGAAGAGGUCAGCCCAUUCCGACGACGAGGGUCAUGUCCUCGCCGUCGAGGGCGCUUCGCGGGCCACCCGAAAGGGGAGGCCUGCGAGCGACAAAAAGAAGGAGGCUGGCGCUCCCAGUAGGGAGCGCUCAACCGGCAAGUGGUGCAUCGUCCAGAACACCUCCCUUCACGACCUCGCGGACUGCCGCGCAGUCAAAAGUUUGGCUGAGCGGACGAGGAAGUGGGAGGAGGAGAGGAGGCAGGAGCGCCGAGAGGGCAAGUCCCCGGCGGUUCCUUCCGGCAAUCGGCGAAGUGAGGCCAAGCAGAAGGCCCCCGCCGAGGACAUCGAUGACGGCGAUGAUGACCUAGGUUUCCAAGAGCCUGGGGCCACCAUUGCCACUGUCGAUGGGGGAGCGUGUGCUCACGUUUCUCGCCGGAGCCUCAAGGCCAUGAAGCGAGAGCUUCUGGCCGCGGCCCCUACUCAUGAGGCGACGCGCCGGGCGCGGUGGUCGGAGGUUGCUCUCACCUACGACCAGACCGACCACCCACCGUGCGUUGCCCGGGGAGGACAGAUCGCAAUGGUGGUUUCCCCCACGGUUUGCAACGUGAAGCUGGGGCGUGUCCUCAUUGAUGGGGGAGCAGCCCUCAACAUCCUUUCCCCCGCAGCCUUUGACGCUAUCAAGGCCCCGGGGAUGGUGCUCCGGCCGUCCCAGCCGAUUAUCGGUGUGACGCCGGGUCACACUUGGCCGCUAGGUCAUAUCGACCUCCCGGUCACCUUCGGUGGAUCCGCCAACUUCCGCACGGAGCGGGUGAACUUUGAUGUGGCGGACCUCAGUCUGCCCUACAACGCGGUCCUAGGGAGGCCCGCGUUGGUGAAGUUCAUGGCGGCAGUCCACUACGCCUACCUCCAGAUGAAGAUGCCGGGCCCCGGUGGCCCCAUCUCUGUCCAUGGCGACCUCAAAGUCGCGCUUGCUUGUAUGGAGCAGCGCGCGGACCACCUCACCGCCGCGUCCAAGCCCGAGGGAGGCGACGAGAGGCUUGGCACCUCCGCCCCCGCCGCCCCGAGGCAGCGGAUAGUCACAUGCGACGAGGUCCCGGUCAAGGAGGUUGCCCUGGGCGACGGCCCGUCCAAGACCACACGGAUCGGUGGUCUUCUGGACGGCAAAUAGGAAGACGCGCUCGUCUCUUUCCUGCGGGCAAACGCUGACGUCUUCGCAUGGAGACCAGCGGAUAUGCCCGGGGUCCCAAGGGAGGUGAUUGAGCACCGUCUCGCCGUGCGGUCGGGCGCAAGGCCGGUCCGGCAGAAAGUACGGCGGCAGGUCCCGGAACGUCAAGCCUUCAUCCGCGAGGAGGUGGCGCGACUUCUGGAAGCCGGAUUCAUCCGCGAGGUCAUCCAUCCGGAGUGGCUGGCGAACCCGGUGGUCGUUCCCAAGGCGAACGGCAAGCUUCGGAUGUGCAUCGACUACACCGACCUUAACAAGGCAUGUCCUAAGGACCCUUACCCCCUGCCUCGCAUAGAUCAGAUUGUCGACUCCACAGCGGGGUGCGACCUUUUGUGUUUUCUAGAUGCAUACUCUGGUUACCAUCAGAUUCGCAUGGCUAGGGAGGAUGAGGAAAAAACUGCAUUCAUUACCCCCAUAGGAACUUAUUGUUAUACGACAAUGCCCUUCGGGUUAAAGAAUGCAGGUCCUACUUUUCAACGCACUACUCGAAUUUCUUUGGGUAGCCAAAUAGGACGUAAUGUUGAGGCUUAUGUCGAUGACUUGGUUGUAAAGACGCGCAACCAAGAGACCUUACUCUCGGAUCUAGCGGAAACUUUUAAGAGUCUCCGCUCCGCCCGCAUAAAACUGAACCCCGAUAAGUGCGUGUUCGAUGUACCUGCGGGCAAGCUUCUCGGGUUUUUGGUCUCUGCCCGAGGCAUCGAGGCCAACCCCGAGAAGAUACGAGCUAUAGAGCGGAUGCGCCCCCCAGCAAGCUUAGGGAUGUGCAAUGCGUCACCGGUUGCAUGGCCGCCCUAAGUCGGUUCAUAUCGAGGCUGGGAGAGAAGGCGCUACCCUUAUUUAAGCUCCUCAAACGCUCCGGGCCGUUUACUUGGACGGAGGAAGCUGAACGUGCCCUCACUCAGUUGAAGGCGUAUCUCAGCUCUCCCCCAGUUCUGGUCGCCCCGGAGCCAAAUGAACCCUAGCUACUCUACUUAGCGGCGACCCCGCAAGUGGUUAGUGCGGCGUUGAUUGUGGAGCGCGAUGAGGACAAUCCUCAUUCCGCGCACCCCCACCCUGUGCUGGCUUGGCCCGGGAGAGAGCAGGGAGGAGAGGCCCCCGAGCCGAACGGUGGCCCAAGGCCCCCGACGACCGGAGCAGGCCCUCUGCCCGCUUGUCAGAUGGUGCCAGGUGCCCCCGACCCCCAGGAUGGCCCGAGGGCCACUGCGGGAAGGCCGCACCUAUCGCCCUCUGACCCCGAGGCUAACCCUGUGCCGACUCGACCCGGGAGAGAGCAGGGAGAAGAGGCCCCCGAGCCGAACGGUGGCCUAAGGCCCCUGACGACCGGAGUUGGCCCUUUGCCCGCUUGUCCGACGACGCCAAGAGCCCCCGACCCCCUGGACGGCCCCGAGGCCACUGUGGGAAGGCCGCCCCUGUCGUCCUCCGACCCCGAGGUCGUCGGCACAGAAGACGAGUGCACCCCGCGAGGCCGCUUGGACAAAGAGCACCCCAGGGAUGUGGCCCCUAGCGAAGAGGAUCGGCCCCACCGAAAGGUGCAGCGGCCCGUCUACUUUGUUAGUGAGGCCCUCCGGGACGCCAAGACCCGAUACCCUCAGGCCCAGAAGAUGCUUUACGCUAUUCUGAUGGCUUCGAGGAAACUGCGCCAUUAUUUCCAGGCGCAUCGGGUCACGGUGAUUACGUCUUACCCCCUCGGCCAAAUCCUGCAUAAUUGAGAGGGUACUGGACGGGUGGUGAAAUGGGCAAUCGAACUUUCUGAGUUUGAUUUGCACUUUGAACCACAUCACGCUAUCAAGAGCCAGGCCCUCGCCGAUUUUGUGGCAGAGUGGACCCCAGCUCCCGAGCCCGUCUCAGUCCCCGAGGCCAGCUCGGGCCCCUCACAGCUGCCUCACACCGCCCAUUGGGUGAUGCAGUUCGACGGCUCCCUGUCUCUUCAGGGCACCGGUGCGGGGGUCACGUUGACCUCGCCGAGCGGAGACGUCCUCAGAUAUUUGGUUCGCCUUGACUUUCGGGCGACCAAUAAUAUGGCAGAGUACGAGGGACUCCUUGCGGGACUCAGGGUGGCAGCUGGACUGGGGAUCCGCCGCCUCCUGGUGUUAGGCGACUCCUAGCUGGUCGUUAACCAGGUCUGUAAGGAGUACCGGUGCUCUGACCCGCAGAUGGACGCUUACGUGCGCCAAGUACGGCGUAUGGAGCGCCAUUUUGACGGGAUAGAGCUUCGGCACGUGCCCAGACGGGAUAACACGGUUGCCGACGAACUCUCACGGCUCACUUCCUCGCGAGCCCAGACCCCACCGGGCGCCUUUGAAGAAAGGCUUGCCCAGCCGUCAGCGCGACCCGACCCCUUAGGGGAGACGGACGCGCCUGACAGGCCCCCGAAGCCCGUCGGAGUCCAGGCCUCGGGACCCGAGGGGAGCGCUCCCAGCUCCCUUAGAUUGAUUGCUUGGAUCGCUGAGAUCCAAGCAUACCUCACAGAUAAGACUCUACCCGAGGACCGCGAAGGGAGUGAACGCGUCCAACGCAUCUCCAAACGCUACGUGCUGGUAGAAGGGACCCACUAUCGGCGCGCGGCUAAUGGAAUCCUCCUGAAGUGCAUUCUUCGGGAACAAGGCGUCGAGCUUCUUGCCGAUAUCCAUGAAGGCGAAUGCGGAUCCCACUCCACCUCGCGCACCUUGGUUGGCAAAGCCUUUCGACAAGGUUUCUAUUGGCCGACAGCUCUCAAUGAUGCGGUAGACCUGGUCCGGCGAUGCAGAGCGUGUCAAUUCCACGCCAAGCAAAUCCAUCAGCCGGCCCAGGCCCUGCAGAUCAUACCACUUUCAUGGCCAUUUGCUGUCUGGGGGCUCGAUAUCCUGGGACCGUUUAGGCGGGCCCCGGGCGGGUUUGAGUAUCUGUAUGUCGCGAUCGACAAGUUCACUAAGUGGCCCGAGGCUUAUCCGGUCGUCAAGAUCGAUAAGCACUCCGCACUUAAAUUCAUUAAGGGCAUCACAACCCGGUUUGGAGUGCCUAACCGUAUUAUUACGGAUAACGGCACCCAAUUCACUAGUGAACUUUUCGGCGAUUACUGCGAAGACAUGGGCAUCAAGCUCUGCUUCGCCUCACCUGCCCACCCCAGAAGCAACGGCCAAGUAGAGCGCGCCAAUGCGGAAAUCCUCAGAGGCCUUAAAACCAAGACCUUCAACAUCCUCAAGAAGCACGGCGAUUCGUGGAUCGAGGAGUUGCCAGCGGUGCUCUGGGCGAACCGAACCACGCCAAGCCGAGCAACCGGGGAAACGCCUUUCUUCCUCGUCUACGGCACGGAAGCGGUUCUCCCAUCCGAGCUCACCCUGAGGUCCCCUCGGGCCACCAUGUACUGCGAGGCUGAUCAAGAUCAGCUUCGCAGAGAUGACCUCGACUACUUGGAAGAGCGAAGGCGGCGCGCGGCCCUCCGAGCCGCGCGCUACCAGCAGAGCCUGCGGCGCUACCAUCAGCGCCACGUCCGGGCCCGAUCACUCUGCGUCGACAACCUCGUCCUACGCCGCGUCCAAACGCGUGCUGGAUUGAGCAAGCUCUCACCAAUGUGGGAGGGUCCGUAUCGAGUGAUCGGCGUCCCCCGGCCGGGCUCCGUUCGGCUGGCCACGGGCGACGGCACAGAGUUGCCUAACCCGUGGAACAUCGAACACCUUCGUCGCUUCUACCCCUAAAAGGGGAUCGGGUGUCAGGUUUCGGGCUCGGGCCAACCCCGCACCCCCCUCGGGCGUGCAGGGUUGGCCGGGGGCUACCACAUAUGCAUAUUCUUAUUUCUCUUAUAUCUGUAUUUCAAUAAAAGCAUUUUCGAUUUCCUAAAGGCUGUAUCUGUGCUGUUGUUUCCUUUUGAAGGAUCUUGACUUGAAGUAGGUCACUCGUGUUCAAUCCUGCCCUCGGGGGCUCGGGUCGGCUAAAAUCGCCAAACGGGGCCCAGAACCGAGCCGUGCCCCGGGGCGUGGUGAACUCCGGGGGGGAAUCGGCAAAAACCCACAAUCGGGUCACCCAUAACCCUCGGUCACCACGCUCCCGGCCUGGCCAGUCUCGACAUGUGGAUAUCCCCAGGCACUAGCCCCGACCCGAGCCAUUUGAGGACUAGGACCUGGGCACGAGCCCUUGUUCAAGCCAAGACACAAAAGGACCGCGGCACAGACAUCCUCGUCUCAUACACACAACAAAUAGAAUUGACACAAAAAAUUUCCUCUUUAUUUGAUUGCAGAUUAAAUUAGUCUAUACAAGAAGGGGGCCCGAAGGCCUCGGAAGAAGAAAAGAAGAAACUAUUUAAAGAUUGGCGGGGGCCUGGGGGCUCACUCCGAUGCACCCGGGUCGCCAGCCUCGUCGCCACUGUCGCCCACUCCGCCGUCAUCGUCCUCCUCGUCGGAGUUGAGGGCGAACGCGAGCCGAGGGGCCGAACCCUCGAAGCUGUGGACGAUAUGGUCGGCGGCGUCCCGGACCUGCGCGCGCGCGACAUCCUUGGUCCCGGGAGGGAACUCAUCCAGCGCCGUCCAUGGGGAGAAGUCGGGAUCCCUGGCUUGGUAACUCGCCAGUACGAGCUCCACCGCUCCUCGGGCGAGGUCCCUCGAGGAUGACUUAAUCGUCCUCUCGAGCUCCUCGGGGAGCCGUUGGAGAGUCCCGGCUAUCUCCGAGAGGCGCUGGGCGAGGCCCCCCAGGUUGGCGGCGUACUUCGCAGUCCGCCCGCCCCAGAGGCCCGCCUGCCGGCCGGCGCGGUCUAGACGGGAGACGGCGUCCCGAAGCAUGCCGGGCCCUACCUCGCCUGCCAAGCGGAGGGCCUCAACCUCCCCGGCGGACGAGUCUAGCGCGCCCUGCAAAUCGGCGAUGGUGUGUUCGGCAGCUGCGAGGCGGGCGGUUAAGUCGCUUUCGCCCGCGGCCGCCCCGCCGCUGCGCGCCCUCGCGUCCAGCUCCUUCUCCCGCGCCUCGAGCUCAGCGGCCCGCUGGUUCAGCGCGGCCCUCUCGGCGCGGGCACCUUCCAGAUUACGGCGCGCUUGUUCCUCUUGCGCAGCCUCGCGGAGGGACAGGCUGUCCGCCAGCUGUUGCGCCGCGGCCUCGGCCUCCUCGAGAGCUCGCUCCCGCUCGGUGAGCGCGUCCUCGCGGAGGCGGAGCGCGGACUCUUCUUCGGCACAGGCGGCUUCGUGCACCGCCAGUGUGACCUCCCGAAUAGCAACGGCGGCCUCGCGAUCCGCCAGGUCCCUCUCCACGGCGCAGGCACGCUCUUCUAGCGCCAUGGCACGGGCCUCAAGGGCUUCUUCGCGCCGCCGGGAUGCCACCUCGGUCUCCGCCGCCCGCCGUUCUCGGGCAGCGGCAGCGUCAAGGACCCCCCGGGCGGCGUCGAGCUUUUUCCCUAGCUCCGCCUCCCAGCUCCCAUAUUGAAGGCGGAGGGUGUCCUGCGCCUCGUUCAUCACGGUGGUGGCGAUGAGGGCAGCCCCCCGCUCCUCCUCCACCUCCUUGGCGAUCUCCCCCAUCACCUUCCGACGGGCUUCGAGCUCUGAGACGUGCCGGCGGUGUGCCUUGCGGCCCACCUCCACCAUGGCCUCCACCGAGCGGCGCCCCUCUUCGACACGUGCCCAUGCGGCGUCGAGCUCCACCCGCUCUGCUUGCAAGGCCUCCAUCUGGGCACUUAACCCGUCCAACACCGUGGUGUUAGCGACGGCCAAGGCCUGCAGAAGAGGUUCUGCGCUCAGUGGAGCAACGGAAGGCGUGGGGAAGAGCCGCCUCGAAGAGGAUGCCGCGCGGCUUGGCCCGCCGAUGGACGUGCCGGACUCGGGGAUGUCCCCCGGACCUGGUUUGUCCUGAGCGUCGCACGAGGGAGUGGGCCCAAGCGAUGCGCCCGCGGCCUCGUCGCGAGCUGCUUCGGAAGUCGUCGUCGCCUCGGCCUGGCGAAGUCUGGCCUCCUCCCGAGCGGCUUCUUCAGCUUGGCCAGCUCGGACGGCCACCUGAGCAGCUUCCUCGGCUUCUCGAAGGCGAUCCGUGGCCUCUUGCCGGUCAGUUUCACGGGUCGCCUCGGAGGAUGUCGUCGCCUCGGCCUGGUGAAGUCUGGCCUCCUCCCGAGCGGCUUCUUCAGCUUGGCGAGCUCGGACGGCCACCUGGGCGGCCUCCUCGGCUUCCCGUAGGCGAUCCGCGGCUUCUCGCCGGUCAGAUUCCCGCCUCCGAGCCUCUGUGGUCGCCGGGUCCUCGGCCUCAGACUGGCCGGACUUGGGAUGGCGGGAGGGACGCGACGGGAUCUCGCUGAAACAGAAGAAAGACCAGAAGACAAACAAGAUGGAUGAGUGAAAACUCGCGUUGAGGGAAUGAAUACGGCCACGAUGGGCGUGGGACGAACCUGCGAGGGGGUCGGUUAAACGACCACCUUGGAGGGGAAAUAAGGUUUCCCCGAGAUGGUUCUGUCCCCCACAUCUUGCGGGGCCGUUUCUUCUUCCGCUCCCCCUCGGGCUGCGACGUCGGCGUGGCCCCCUCCGGGCGCCUGCUGCUGGCACGCGCCGCCCCGCCCCCUCGUGGAGGAGAUGGGGGAGGGGUUCCUUCCUGUUUCCUCUUCCCCCGGGCGUCGGCAGGGCGGCCGCUCCCCGGGCCCCUGUCGCGGGGCCCAGAACCAUGACCCCCUCCCGGGGUAGAUUGUUCCCCCCUGCGGCUCCCGCCCGCGCCAUCGUGGCCUCGAGGAGCCCGCUCCUCCGACGCCCCGACCGCCUGCAUGAUGGUCAGGAUGGAGGCGCGGUCUGGAUCGCUGCAGAGGGGGAGGACUCCUUGAGGAAUGAGGGAUGCCUCCACGGAGCUGAGAUUCAGCACCCGUUGGACCACUAUCUUGAAGUCCUCAGGAGCCCAGUCCCAUCUGACUCCCUGGUGAGUCCUCAUACAGUCCUCGGACCCGGUGUACUCCCAGGCACCCCGGGCGCGCCGCUGGAGUGGCGCGAUCCGGCGACGAAGAUAGUCGCCGUACACCAUGGCCCCUGUGAGCCCCAGGGAUCACAGGCCCGCCAGGCGGUCGAGGACGGCGUCAUAGCCAUCUCCCAGAUCUACCGGCGCCCGCCAGCUGGAGGCCUGCGCCGGGGGCUGGCUCGGAAGUCGGAGGCGCGCUUCGUCAGCUAGGGGGGUGUAGAACCAGUCGCUCUUCCAGUCAUCCCACUUCUUGCGGAGGACGCAGGGAAUGUAGCGGUUCAACACCGGCCCCCGCGGUUGGAAGUAGCAGCCACCAACCACCGACGGCGGCGACACUGACUGUACGGUGAAGAACCACCGGAACAGCCGAAGGGAUGGGCGCACCCCGAUGAACAUCUCGCACAGGUGCGCGAAGAUGGCCAAUGUCAUUACCGCGUUGGGGGUGAUGUGCGCCAUCUGGAGAUCGUAAAACUCCAGAACAUCCAUGAAGAAAGAAGAAAAUGGCGGAACCAGCCCUGCCAUUGCAAAAGGGAGGAAGAAGACGGACCGCCCCGGGUAGCAUGGCGCUGGGCGUCCCUCGCCCAGCGUAACUAUCUCCCAGCCGGUGGCAGAUUCCGGCAUGAAGCGGCGCGGCAGCCCGGCCUGCCUCUCGCUCACGAUGCGGGAAGGCGGCAGCACGCUACCAUCAAGCAAAGCGGAGCCCCGUGCCAUGACGCCGGAGGAAGAGAUGUUUAAGAGCGAGCGCGUGUGGCGAAGGUAGGGCACAGGAAACAAGGAGUUAGGGCGCAAGCGGCGAAGACAAGGGGAAUAAUGGCGAGAGGAAGGAAGCAAAUCUCUUCCUCGGCGACUUUAUACCCUUGCCAACGCUGUGCCCGGCUCCUCGUUUCUCGCGCCCACUAUCUUGCCCCCUCGUUUCUCGCGCCCACGCUUCCACUAAUCCCAUUCGCCCGUUUGCGGUGCAUGAGGUGGACAUGCGGCUGUGGCAGUCGAGAUGGAACAUCUCGUGCGCGCGUUAAUUACGCUCGCCGACCGAAGCGCCAUCACCAUAUCUCCAGGAAAAACGAACCGGAUUGUCCCGAUUUUUAGACCGGCCCCACCAUGUCACCAGGCCUUAGGAAGUGGCGUCACACCCGACCGCUUCCCUCGAGGAGGGCGAUCGCCCUGGCAUAACGCCAGGGGCUACUGUCGGUGACAUGGGACCGGGAGUAUCAUGACUUAGAGACUUGAGGCAGACACGAUCACCCACGUGGCCUAACCCCCUCGGGGGGGGGGGGGGGGGUCGGGCCCGAGGGUGAUACGGCCGCCCUUCUCUUUGUCUCCCCGAGGGGUUGGACCGCUCCCGUCUCGGCCCCGAGGGCCGAGGCGCCCCGACCCCUUGUGGGUUUUGCGCCGCGUAUAUGGGGUAGGUGAGCAUAGCGGGGCUCACCUAACCACAUUUAUUGCGGUUUGGACGAGCGCGUCACGCCGCAUGUAACGCAGUGCAGCGCGCUCGUUUAUCCGGUCAGUGACCAGUCACAGACCGAUCAGAUCGUGGGUUAGGUGGCGACAGGCGGUCUGACGCACGCCUCGCCCCAUCCUGUCAGGACGAGAGCCUCCAAGCACUCGUCCCUAGCCGGAGCCGGCGUGUUAGCUCCUGGAGAUGGCACGUUGGUUCCGGUCAGAUAUAUGCCAGGCUUCAUCCUAACCAUUACAGGCAAGAUAUUGUAUGAAGAAGGGCGAACAUGCAGAUUUAUAGACUGACGCGUGGUGGACAAGAAUGACCGAUUUGUGACCGGUCUGACACUGGUCAUGUCGUCAGCAGACAGCCAUUUUCCCACGUCGCGCCUGCUUCCGGCGGAAGUGGAGGUAGGUAUGGGCUGUCCCAUCAGAAGGUCAUUCGGACGGCAACCAUACAAGUCUCCGUCUGUUUAUGAAAAGAUAGGAUAAGUCCCCACAAAAAAGAGAGAGAUGGUGCAUGUGGUAUCCCCUUGAGGUAUAAAAGGAGGACCUUGCCCACUUAGAAGAGGAGGAUUUUCGGAUCCAGAAAGAUCAGAGAGGGAGAAAGUAAGAGCUCUCUGGUUCUCCAGCUCUUUUGUAGCUUCUUCAUACACAGAUCCACCAAAACACAGGAGUAGGGUAUUACGCUUCUCAGCGGCCCGAACCUGUAUACAUCGCCCGUGUCUUGUGUGUUUCCACUCUCGCGAACCUUCCACACUCAGACCAGGAGCUUAGAAUCUCACCCAGGGCCCCCGGCCGAACCGGCAAAGGGGGGCCUGUGCGGUCUCCCGGUGAGGAGCCCCACGCUCCGUCACCUGCCAUCCUCUCUCCCCCUUCCCUUCUUCCUCCUCCCUCUCUCUCUCCCCUUCUUUUCCUCUUCGGCUGUCUACAGGGAGCGGCGGCGGCGGUGGGCAGGUGCAGGCCAGAGCGGCGACUACGGGCAGGCGAGGGACGGAGAGCGGCGGUGGAGGGAGGUCGAGAGCUAGAGCAGUGGCGGCUAGGCCUACGAUGGAGGGGGACGCCGCCUAAGCCAUGGUUGUGGAUUGCGGCACCUAGCAGAUCCCCCAUGACGCGCCGCCGUGGUCGGCUCCGAUGAAAAGCCAUGCCCCCACGCCACGCCCCAUCAAGAGAAGGCGAGGUGGGGGUCGACCGCCACAAGGGGAAGGAGGCAAGCUCGGAAGUGCGGAAGGAACGCCAAUAGACGGCUCGGGCACCGGCGACGCUCGCGACCAGAUGAGUGGGAUGGUGCCGGACGGUGGACAAAUCCCGCCAUUCCUUCCUCUCACGGCCUCCACCUCAAUUGACGCGGUGUGGGGGCACUACGGCUGACGACGGUGCGCACCGCUCUCCGUUGGGGCCGACGGCGCAACGCAGCAUUGGGGCGUCGUGGCCGACGACGGUGCGCGUGGAUCUCCGUCGGGGCCGACGACGUGAAGCGGUGUGGGGGCAUCACGAGUGAUGGCGGUGCACGCAGCGGGCGGCGAAGGGAGAGCUUGUCCAACACCUUUGGAAGCAGCUUGAACGCGCCCUCGGUGGCAGCGGAGCUGUUCUUGUCCGGGUGCAGGACGAGGCAGAGGCAGCGCCCUCAGGCACGGUGCCCCCUGGAUCCAGUCGUUAGGUCCUCGUUGUCGCCGCCACCGCUGCCCUGGAUUUAGCCAUUGGGCCGUCACGCCGCCAAUAAGAAGAAUGGAGGAUAUGGAGAGGG